GGUCAGGAAGAUGCAGAUAAAACGCCAAUAGCCUGAUACGACAUAAGCUUUAUUUAAAGAAAAGAGCUAUCAAUCAUCAUCAAUUUGUCUUUCUCUCUCUCUUUCGAAAACGAAACAAAAUCCGUUAAUAAAUGACGAACCCCCUUAUAUAGAUGAUAGGACAGGGCUAAGGCAGUAAUCUCGACGGAGGUCGGAUGAGCUUUGAUGAAUAAAAGAGGACUCUGUAGAAACUCUCAUGGGUGAAGCAAAUCAAACCCAUUUUCGGACAAAGAAGAUAAAAAAAACAAAACGAGAGUGGCUACGAAAGCCCCGGAGAUUCUAUGGGAAAUUGGAAAUGUCGAAGUGAGUUGUGGCUUAUAAAUAGGAAGAUGAGGAGAUAACAGGCGAAGGAUAUUCAUGAUAUUAGGUUCGAUUUAUGUUGUCUCGCUCCCCUAUUCUUUAUGGUCGAGUAGCUUCGCUUAUUCGCCUCUACACCUUGGGCUCAUAGCUGAGCUCCUUGAUCGCAGAGCGGCAUACCGAAAAAGAAAAGAAGAAAAAG